rnacentral:ncRNA from 1 species
CUCUUGCAAUUAGGUAUAUGAUGGAUACGUCUAUCAUUUCAAAUCAAGGGAAUAAAGGAGUCUAAUUCCAUGCUGAAUAAGCAAAAAAAUAAAUAAAGAUGAAAACCGAUAGUAAUGUUAAAUGAACUCCGUUAAGCAUCU